AGGACGAACGCUGGCGGCGUGCUUAACACAUGCAAGUCGAACGGUAAGGCCCUUCGGGGUACACGAGUGGCGAACGGGUGAGUAACACGUGGGUGAUCUGCCCUGCACUUCGGGAUAAGCUUGGGAAACUGGGUCUAAUACCGGAUAUGACUACGAAUCGCAUGGUUUGUGGCGGAAAGCUUUUGCGGUGUGGGAUGGGCCCGCGGCCUAUCAGCUUGUUGGUGGGGUGAUGGCCUACCAAGGCGACGACGGGUAGCCGGCCUGAGAGGGUGUCCGGCCACACUGGGACUGAGAUACGGCCCAGACUCCUACGGGAGGCAGCAGUGGGGAAUAUUGCACAAUGGGCGCAAGCCUGAUGCAGCGACGCCGCGUGAGGGAUGACGGCCUUCGGGUUGUAACCUCUUUCAGUAUCGACGAAGCGCAAGUGACGGUAGGUACAGGAAGAAGGACCGGCCAACUACGUGCCAGCGAGCCGC
rnacentral:rRNA from 1 species